rnacentral:rRNA from 1 species
UACGUAGGGUGCAAGCGUUGUCCGGAAUUAUUGGGCGUAAAGAGCUCGUAGGCGGUCUGUCGCGUCUGCUGUGAAAACUCGGGGGCUUAACCCCGGGCCUGCAGUGGGUACGGGCAGACUAGAGUGCGGUAGGGGAGACUGGAAUUCCUGGUGUAGCGGUGAAAUGCGCAGAUAUCAGGGAGGGAACACCGGUGGGCGAAGGCGGGUCUCUGGGCAGUAACUGACGCUGGAGGAGCGAAAAGCGUGGGGGAGCGAACAGG